rnacentral:rRNA from 1 species
GUGGGAGUAGCUGUCUUCUGGGCACAUAUAGAACUUAUCUUAGAGGUGAACAGACCUUUUUUUGGCUUCGGGACGGGUAGACCCCGAUGAGCUUGAUAGCGGUGUGUAGUUUUGCGCCAAGGGCAAUUAACUUGGCGCUUUAUUGCGCCUUCUUCGGUUGGGAAAACCGGGGGGAUGAGUGAAAUCCUGCUUUUGUUUGGUUUAGAUGUGUUUGUAAAGACCUCUGGAGAGGGAAAUUUGAAAGAGAAAAGUUACCGCGGGGAUAACAGCAUUGUCUCCUCAGAGAGAAUACAUUGAAGAGGGGGUUUAUGACCUCGAUUUUGGAUCAUUUGAUUCUGGGUGAUAUAAGGGGUCACUUUGUGAGGGACUGUUCGUCCCCUAAGUUUUU